rnacentral:tRNA from 1 species
AUUUUAAUAGCUUAUAUAGAGCAUAAUAUUGAAGAUAUUAAGGAGAUUUUAGAUCUUAAAAUA